rnacentral:rRNA from 1 species
UGCCUUACUAGCGUGCGAGUGAAGCGGCUNAAGCUUCAAAUUUCAAAUCUGGCUCUUUCAGAGUCCGAGUUGUAAUUUGAAGAAGGUAUCUUUGGGUCUGGUUCUUGUCUAUGUUUCUUGGAACAGAACGUCACAGAGGGUGAGAAUCCCGUGCGAUGAGAUGAUCCAGGCCUAUGUAAAGUUCCUUCGAAGAGUCGAGUUGUUUGGGAAUGCAGCUCUAAGUGGGUGGUAAAUUCCAUCUAAAGCUAAAUAUUGGCGAGAGACCGAUAGCGAACAAGUACAGUGAUGGAAAGAUGAAAAGAACUUUGAAAAGAGAGUGAAAAAGUACGUGAAAUUGUUGAAAGGGAAGGGCUUGAGAUCAGACUUGGUAUUUUGUAUGUUACUUCUUCGGGGGUGGCCUCUACAGUUUAUCGGGCCAGCAUCAGUUUGGGCGGUAGGAGAAUUGCGUUGGAAUGUGGCACGGCUUCGGUUGUGUGUUAUAGCCUUCGUCGAUACUGCCAGCCUAGACUGAGGACUGCGGUUUAUACCUAGGAUGUUGGCAUAAUGAUCUUAAGUCGCCCGUCUUG